AACUUUGCGCAGUGGCAAUAUCGGAACCAAUGAAGGUCUCUGAGGUGCGAUUAUUGCUAGUUGAAACUUUUACAGUAAAGUAUGUUUGCUGGUCGCCUCCGUCCACGACACUUAAUUUGGUAGUUGGGCGUAAA
rnacentral:snRNA from 1 species